UGUAGAUGAAAUAUGUUACAAUUUGGUACAGAGUGGGCCUAAACUAAUCCCUUGAAUUUUGCAAAGACAUUGAGAUUCACCUGAAAACAAUAAGAAGGAAAUAAAUAUAAAGUCAGUUGGAACAGAGAAGGAGGCUACUACAUCUUUUGGCUACGACUAAGCAUACAGGUUUGGAACAACUUGACGCUUGCCCUGAUGAGUGGAGACCUCUCUUCUUCUGGAGUUUCAGCCAAAAUUCACUGAACCUGUGAGCUGACAUCUUGGCUUGGUGGAUUUUCUCCCUUUAGUUGGGCAAUGCAAGUAUGGGCAGCCAAACAUCCAGGCCAUCUGAUCAGCAACCUUUAUUAGAUCAUACAGAUGAAGUACCACUCAUUGAGAAGAUCUCAGUUGUGGUUAUGGGACCUCAUGGAGUUGGAAAGAAUACAGUUGGGAAUGCUAUUCUUAAAAAGAAAGCCUUCACAUUCCAGGAUAGAUCUAAAAACUAUUACUUGAAGGAGGAAAACACAACAUUUGACAGACAUGUUUCUGUCAUUCGUGUCCCAGGCUGGUCUGCAGAUUUAACCUCUGAAAACAAUAUACAACUUUGGCAAGUGAUUAAAGACAGUCUGAGGUCAGUUGAUGAUGGACCCCAUGCUAUUAUACUGGUUGUUAAUAUGAACACUGAAACUGUAGAGACCACAAAAGAGAAAUUAAAACAACUCCUGGGUGAUAAUGUUUUCCAGCAUAUUUUAAUCGCUUCAGUGGACAGAAAAAACAUUGUGGUUUGUCACAGUGAAAGAAAACAAACUGUCAUUAACAGAUGUAAAUAUCACUUAUUUGUAAGAUGCACAUGUGGACAGCAAAAUAAAAAGUUCAUUGAAACAAUUGAAGAUUUUAUUGUAUAUAAGGAAGACAUUCGUUUCUACACUGUGAGGAAAAAGGCACAAAAAAUGGAAUUGCAGCAUCAGGACCUGGCUAACCUUGUAGAUGGAUUAAACCACAAAAUUUCAGCUCUCUCAUGUUCCAAGGAUUCCAAUGAGCAUGUAAUACAAUCACAAAAAGCUGAAAUAAAGGAACUACAACGUCUGCUGAAAGAAAAGGAGCAUAUGUUGAGAGCCAAGGAGGAGGAGAUAAAAAGUUUAAAGUCAAAUCAAAAUCACACAAAGCUCUCUGCCCUGCACAAACAGCUUGAGCAUGCAGCAAUGAAAGAAAAAAAGCUUCAAGGAAUGGUUGGUGAAAUGAAAAAAAAUCUUGAAGAAAAAAAUAAAGAGAUAAAAGAACUGAGAAAAGAAAUCAAGCAUUGAAAUCUCAAAAUGAAAAUAAAAAAAGCACAAAACCACCAUCCAUGACUGGACGAAUGCAGAAGCCUACUAAUUCAGUUGAAUUAAUCCCCCUGAUCUCAACAGGUAUGAUGCCCAAAAAUGCAAAUAUUGUUAUAUUAAAAUGAGAUAAAAUAAUAUUAAUUAUUUUUACACACAUACACACACACGCACAGAGAGAGAGAGAGAGAAAGAGAGAGAGAGAGAGAGAGAGAGAGUAUGAAGACAAGACAAUUGAUGAAGUUGCUUUUUUUCUUUCUUUUUUUCUAAGAAACAUUGAGCAGUGAAGCACCUCAAGCCAGUGAAGUCCACAGAGCUGUGCAGUUUCUGAAGAAAAACCGCAAAGAACUCAUUGAAAGAAUUGUGGCAGUGAAGCCCAUUGCUGAUGAACUGUUUCCAUUUAUCAACCAAUAUAAAUAUGAGAAGAUUCUACAGGCUCCAUCUGAGUAUGAGCAAAGGAGACAGCUCUACGACAUAAUGGAUAAAGGUGGAAAGAAAUUGCAAUUUGAGUUUUACAAAUGCCUGUUAAAACAUGAGAAAUAUCUUGUUGAAGACUUAGAGGAGUCACCAUAAAAUACAAAGUACUGGUAAGACUAAAGAAUGUGAAGGUCCAGUUACCAAAAUAGACAUAAUUUCUUUUCUGGGGGAAAAAAUUACACAUGAGAUGAACAACUGCCAGUCCAUCACUGGACACCUUGCACACAUGCAUUCACAUGAAAAGGCAAUACAGUGCAGCUAAUCCGUGUACCUGCCUGUUUUUGGACAAUGGGAGGAAACCCCUGCGAAUAUGGGGAGAACAUGCCAAACUCUGCACAUACAAUAACUCAGUCAAGAUACAUUCAAGAUCAGUGUAGGGUAAAUUACUCUAAAAAGUAAUCCACUAAAGAUUACUAAUGACUACUUUAAAAUUGUAAUCUUAUUACAAUACUGAUUACUAAGUACUUUACUUUCACAUUACUUUCAAAACCUACAUACCUACAAAAAUACACUACAAAUUGAAACUCAGUUCUUUCAGCACUUUUAGCGCAUAUCAAUGUAUGACACGAUCAGAAAAAUUUGGAUUUAUCAUAAAAGUUGCCUCAGGUGUUGUCACUAUUUGUAGGAAUACCAGACCGAUAAAAUAUAAAGCUUUUCUAACUUAUCUAGUUUGGUAUUGCUAAGCUAAGCUAUCACUGUAUGGGUGUAAGCUAUCACUGUAAGCUAUAGCUAAGCUAACACGGUAUGGGUUUAGCUGCUACAGUGCUAUGAAAAGUACAUUAUCCUUCCUUAUGCUCUGCUCAUAUCAUUUUCCCGUGAACUGGAACUCAUAUAGACAUUUACACACCUUGUUUUCCUGAUCAGCAUCAGAGGAUGCUACUGUUUCAAUUUCAACCCCUUUACUGGUUAAAAAAAUCGGCGUAUAUCCAUUUUUCCUCAGACUGACUGUAAAUUAGCGCUUGGCAGAAUUGAGAGUUGUCAGCCAAUAAGACACAAUAAUUUCUAUGUAUUUUCCUGUAAACCGUGUGUGGGCCAUACCAGCAAAAGCCUUCAUCGAGCCUGUAAUCAGUCACACCAUUAAAAUUAGAUCAUGGCAGAUUUUGAAGGACUCAGACUCUUUGUCUGAACACCUAACCAGUCUGUCUAUCUCUGUGUUUGAAAAGUCACAGUAAAACGUUAUACCCCUCAAUUUCUUUGAAUUUCUACCUGGUCACCAAACUCAGUAAAUUCCUGUCAAUUUCAUAGUAACAUUAAUACAUCAUAUGCCGAAGAGAACAUUUAUUUAUUUGUUCACUUUUUCUAGCAUUUUUCUAACGCCCAAGAAAAAUAAGAAGAAUACUGUGGGAAGAGACAUAGAACUCAUGUAAUGAGGAGUUGUGGUACAGUUGGGGUUGUGGUUUGCUGAAAACAUGGCAUAUCUCAGUUAUGUGUUUUUCUGACCCUGAAAGUAAGCCCAUUUACCUUCCAUGAUAUCAUCUCAAGUGAGGAGCACUAUUAUGUCCAGCACCCCUGAAUGACAGUUUGAAUUAAUCACAAUAUAUCAUAUUUUUAAGUUGUGGAAAUUGAAAAGAAACUCAAUAAGUCUAGGUAAUGCCAUUUGAUCCAACAUUAAAUAUACAAAAGUGACACUAUGAAUUAAUUAAUAGGUUUGUCCCUUUAAAGUCCACAAAAACUACAUAGGAGGUGAUGGCAUUGGAGACAUAGCUUAUCUUAGUGACUGUAUUAUUUUUUUUUUUAUGGAUAAAACUGCAAACAAUACUUUUAUUUGUGUGUAAGCAGAUGAGUGUCUGUCCUUUAAACUGUGGUCAUGUAAACUGUAUUAAAAUUCCACAACUCAAAAUAUUGAAUAAAAAUAUGCAACAUAAUAGAAUGUGAAUAUUGCAAACCAUUUUUUGUCAUGUAUCACUCUGCGAUAUCUACAAGAAAGCUAAUAAAAUAAUUUCAACUGA
ensembl:lncRNA